GAUGAACGCUGGCGGCGUGCCUAAUACAUGCAAGUCGAACGCAUAGCGAAAGGUGCUUGCACCUUUCAAGUGAGUGGCGAACGGGUGAGUAACACGUGGACAACCUGCCUCAAGGCUGGGGAUAACAUUUGGAAACAGAUGCUAAUACCGAAUAAAACUUAGUGUCGCAUGACACAAAGUUAAAAGGCGCUUCGGCGUCACCUAGAGAUGGAUCCGCGGUGCAUUAGUUAGUUGGUGGGGUAAAGGCCUACCAAGACAAUGAUGCAUAGCCGAGUUGAGAGACUGAUCGGCCACAUUGGGACUGAGACACGGCCCAAACUCCUACGGGAGGCUGCAGUAGGGAAUCUUCCACAGUGGGCGAAAGCCUGAUGGAGCAACGCCGCGUGUGUGAUGAAGGCUUUCGGGUCGUAAAGCACUGUUGUAUGGGAAGAACAGCUAGAAUAGGAAAUGAUUUUAGUUUGACGGUACCAUACCAGAAAGGGACGGCUAAAUACGUG
rnacentral:rRNA from 1 species